rnacentral:rRNA from 1 species
GACGAACGCUGGCGGCAGGCCUAACACAUGCAAGUCGAACGAGUGGCGGACGGGUGAGUAAAGUCUGGGAAACUGCCCGAUGGAGGGGGCUAACUACUGGAAACGGUAGCUAAAAUCGCAUACCAUCGGUUUUGUCCAGAUGGGAUUAGCUAGUAGGUGGGGUAACUGCUCACCUAGGGUACGAUCCCUAUCUGGUCUGAGAGGAUGACCAGCAACACUGGAACUUAGACACGGUCCAGACUCCUACGGGAGGCAGCAGUGGGGAAUAUUGCACAAUGGGCGCAAGCCUGAUGCAGCCAUGCCGCGUGAAAGAAGAAGGCCUGCGGGUUGUAAAGUACUUUCAGCGGGGAGGCGUUACUCGCAGAAGAAGCACCGGCUAACUCCGUGACAGCAGCCGCGGUAAUUC